AAUGCCCUGACAUUAGAAUAAAGUCCUGAUAAUAGAAUAAAGUCCUGAUGAUAAAAUAAAGUCCCUACAAUAGAAUGAAGUCCUGAUAAUAGAAUAAAGUCCUGACAAUAGAAUAAAGUCCUGACAAUAAAAUUAAGUCCUUACCAUAAAGUCCUGACAAUAGACAAAAGUUAUGAUAAUAGAAAGAAGUCCUAACAAAAGAAUAAAGUCCUAAUAAUAGAAUAAAGACCUGAUAAUAGAAUGAAGUCCCUACAAUAGAAUGAAGUCCUGAUAAUAGAAUAAAGUCCUGACAAUAGAAUAAAGUCCUGAUAAUAAAUUAAAGUCCUGACAAUAAAGUCCUGACAUAAGGUAUAAAGUCCUGACAAUAGAUUAAAUUCCCUACUAUAAAGUCGUGACAUUAGAAUAAAGUUCCGACAAUAGAAUAAAAUCCUGAUAAAAAAUUUAGUUCCUGACAAUGUCCUGAUGUUAGAAUAAAGCCCUGAAAAUAAAAUAAAGUCCUGACAGUAAAGUCCUGACAAUAAGAUAAAGUCCUGACAUUAAUAUAAAGUCCUGACAAUAGAAUAAAGUCUAAUCUAUUAAUUCCUGACAGUAGAAUAAAGUCCUGAUAACAAUUUUAAAUCCUGACAAUAGAAAAAAGUCCUGACAAUAUAAUAAAGUCCUGACAACAAAAUAAAUUCCAACAAUAGAAUUAAGUCCUGAUAAUAAACACCUGACAAUAAAGUAAAGUCCUGACCAUGAGGUCCUUACAAUAGAAAAAAACGCCCUGACAUUAGAAUAAAGUCCUGAUAAUAGAAUAAAGUCCUGACAAUAGAAUAGAGUCCUGAUAAUAGAAAAAGUCCUGAUAAUAGAAUAAAGCCCUAAUAAUAGAAUAAAGACCUGAUAAUAGAAUAAAGUCCUGAUAAUAAAAUAAAGUCCCUACAAUAGAAUGAAGUCCUGAUAAUAGAAUAAAGUCCUGACGAUAGAAAAAAGUCCUGACAAUAAAAUUAAGUCCUUACCAUAAAGUCCUGACAAUAGAAAAAAGUUAUGAUGAUAGAAAAUAAUCCUAACAAAAGAAUAAAGUCCUAAUAAUAGAAUAAAGCCCUGACAAUAAAAUAAAGUCCUGACAAUAGAAUAAAGUCCUGAUAAUAAAUUAAAGUCCUGACAAUAAAGUCCUGACAUAAGGUAAAAAGUCCUGACAAUAGAUUAAAUUCCUUACUAUAAAGUUGUGACAUAAGAAUAAACGUCCGACAAUAGAAUAAAAUCCUGAUAAAAAAUUUAGUUCCUGACAAUGUCCUGAUGUUAGAAUAAAGCCCUGAAAAUAAAAUAAAGUCCUGACGGUAAAGUCCUGCCAAUAGAAUAACGUGUUAACAAUUAAGUCCUGACAACAUAAAGUCCUAAUGAUAAAGUUCUGACAACAGAAUAAAGUCCUGACAAUAGAAUAAAGUUCUCACAUUAGAAUACAGUCCUGACAAUAAAAUUAAUUCCCAACAAUUAAGUCCUGACAAUAGGAUAAAGUCCUGACAAUAAAGUCCUCCGCGCCGACAAGGCUUUUUCAAGCCGAGCUGCGCAGCCCAGCGUAAAUAUCCCCCCUCCCUAACUCAGCUCCUCCGAGCGGCGUAAGUCAUAGCGAGGGAGGAGAGAGGGCGUAAAGUGGUUUUAACACAGCCUAGACCUGUAUUGACCAAUAACAUCAGCUCCUCUCCUC
rnacentral:lncRNA from 1 species